rnacentral:rRNA from 1 species
UGGGGAAUAUUGCACAAUGGGCGCAAGCCUGAUGCAGCCAUGCCGCGUGUGUGAAGAAGGCCUUCGGGUUGUAAAGCACUUUCAGCGAGGAGGAAGGGUAGUGUGUUAAUAGCACAUUGCAUUGACGUUACUCGCAGAAGAAGCACCGGCUAACUCCGUGCCAGCAGCCGCGGUAAUACGGAGGGUGCAAGCGUUAAUCGGAAUUACUGGGCGUAAAGCGCACGCAGGCGGUUUGUUAAGUCAGAUGUGAAAUCCCCGCGCUUAACGUGGGAACUGCAUUUGAAACUGGCAAGCUAGAGUCUUGUAGAGGGGGGUAGAAUUCCAGGUGUAGCGGUGAAAUGCGUAGAGAUCUGGAGGAAUACCGGUGGCGAAGGCGGCCCCCUGGACAAAGACUGACGCUCAGGUGCGAAAGCGU